AGGUCAUAGUGGCAGUGGUUCAUUUAGUUCAGCACAAAGUUCCAGCUCCAGCUAUGCAUGGGGCCGGUGAAACCCACAGGAUACAAAAACAAAACUUCCCAUCUCACAUGAACAUUCUUUGACCUUUCAAACUACAUGAGUACUACUGAAGAAAAGCCAUAUCAGUGAUGUAUACCCCACAACCCACGAAUGCCUGCACUCCACAUCAACGCCCGCAAGCUACUUUCAUGAACAGAAUACUAAAAAUAUUUACAAGCUAUUCAGCUGAACUUAACUAAGCACCAGGCCACAGCUGCCUCCAAGUUUCAGUGUCUCAGAUAAGCCUAAAUACUGCCAGCCUUCAUACUGAUGGUCUUCCAGUACUUCAAUUUAAGAAAUAUUAGUCAUUAGAGCAUCUCGCAUAACAGCAUUUUAUAUUUUCUUUACAUUAUUAGCUCUCUUUGAAUUAAAUACAUUAUGAAAUUUACAAUGUAAACUGAAACAAAUGGUAUUUCUUUUAUGACCUGAACAGGUAUUAAAACUUCGUCACACUCUGAAUUCUAAUAUUUUAUCUUAUAGAAUCUCCUGUUGUUAUAUUUCCAUGGCAACAAUUUGUAUCACUAAAAAGCUAUAAGCAGCUUCGACUGUUCUGAGAUGGAUGAUUCCUUCUCAAACACAAAUAAACCCCAGACUAGGAGGGUCAAUGUCUUUAAGUGAUAAACCUCAUCAUGGAAGGAUUAAAUUGGAAUUAAUUCAGUAAAUGUUACCCAUCAUCACACUCCAUGGAGCAAUAUUAAUUUAAAUGCCAGAAUUAAUCCACAUUUCAUGUCUCUGUAAUUUUUUUUAAGUAGAAAUAUGUAACUCAGAAUCUUUAAAUAAACAUUUCUCUUCAUUAGCA